UUUAAAUCUGCCUCAGAGCAGAAACUCCCCUGCCGUUAUUCUACCUAUGCUUGAAAACAUUUCCAUGAGAGCAGUAAGCAGCAGCUGGAGCCUUCCACUCGUGCUUUCCGAAGAAGCACCAAGACAUCUCUGAAGACACAACAGGGCAAAGAAUGUGAAGAAAAGACACAGUGAGGUUCUUAUCUGGAGCGUGGUUCUGCAGCUACAGAUUUGCCUGAAUUCAGUGUGAUCGCUCCAAACCCUUUGGAGGAGCUCAUGCACCGAGGGGAAGGGUGAGAGGCAAUUGUCAGCAGCUGGCUGGAUUAAAUAUGGA
ensembl:lncRNA